UGAUGAUGAUGAUGAUGAUGAUGAUGAUGAUGAUGAUGAUGAUGAUGAUAAUGAUGAUGAUAUUGUAGUAACUCUGUACAUCCGCGCAAUGUGCCAUCAUUCAUACUUUUUGCUCUGUUUUAUUACCCUUAUUCAUCAAUCAGUCCUUUUCUCCCUCCUCCUACUCCUCAACGUCCCUCGUCCAUCAUUAUUGUCGUCAUCAUCAUCAUCAACAUCAUCA
rnacentral:pre_miRNA from 1 species